CGGCUACGAGGGAAUGGCAAGCCACCUCCCAUCGCUACAAGUUGGGUUUCUAGACCCACUCAAGGCCAGUCGCAUGUACCUAUCGGCUCGCGUCGCUGCUCCCAAGGAUGACAAAGGAACCUCCGUCGUCCUCGUCGUGGACAUGAAUCGCCGCGACCACCAGAUUCUCAGUUACCCUUGUAUAUGGGCCGACCCCUCCUUCGUGCCCUCUGUGUUCCCGCCGUGGCUUGGCUCCGCCCGCAUCCCUUCUGCAGGCAAUAAAGACAAGACUUUGGCAGAUGUUCUGGUUCGCGCAGGCAGUCCUUAGAAGAGAUGAAGGUUUCUUAAAACUAACAGCAGUUGCUGCUCUAAUAAAUUAGGAAGCUGAUGGUGGACCAAACUGUAAUUUCAAGAGUCCCGAUUUGUCUCGUAUCUCUUUUGGGUGGUAAUCUGGGAGUUCUUUCAGACUUUCAGUUCGUGGUAGAACACCAGCAGAGUUGCUAAAUUCAUUUGACAUCUAACGGCUAUCACUGAACAUCGUAUGUAUAUCAGUAUAUGCCGUGUUUCAAGCAAGACAUUGCAUCUGUAGGAAAAGAUUGAUGCUUCCACAUGUUAACUCUUAUGAGAAAUCUUAUUAAGGGAUCUAAUCUUAUGUUCA